rnacentral:rRNA from 1 species
UACGAAGGGGGCUAGCGUUGCUCGGAAUCACUGGGCGUGAAGGGUGCGUAGGCGGGUCUUUAAGUCAGGGGUGAAAUCCUGGAGCUCAACUCCAGAACUGCCUUUGAUACUGAGGAUCUUGAGUCCGGGAGAGGUGAGUGGAACUGCGAGUGUAGAGGUGAAAUUCGUAGAUAUUCGCAAGAACACCAGUGGCGAAGGCGGCUCACUGGCCCGAUACUGACGCUGAGGCACGAAAGCGUGGGGAGCAAACAGG